rnacentral:rRNA from 1 species
AUUGAACGCUGGCGGCAGGCCUAACACAUGCAAGUCGAGCGGGGUUUUCGGACCUAGCGGCGGACGGGUGAGUAAUGCGUAGGAAGCUACCCGAUAGAGGGGGAUACCAGUUGGAAACGACUGUUAAUACCGCAUAAUGUCUACGGACCAAAGUGUGGGACCUUCGGGCCACAUGCUAUCGGAUGCGCCUACGUGGGAUUAGCUAGUUGGUGAGGUAAUGGCUCACCAAGGCGACGAUCCCUAGCUGGUUUGAGAGGAUGAUCAGCCACACUGGAACUGGGACACGGUCCAGACUCCUACGGGAGGCAACAGUGGGGAAUAUUGGACAAUGGGCGCAAGCCUGAUCCAGCCAUGCCGCGUGUGUGAAGAAGGCCUUCGGGUUGUAAAGCACUUUCAGUAGGGAGGAAGCGUUGUGUGUUAAUAGUACACAGCGUUGACGUUACCUACAGAAGAAGCACCGGCUAACUCUGUGCCAGCCGCCGCAGUAAUAC